CCAAGUUUAUUAAAAAAUACACCAUGGGAAAAAACAGAGACCUGGUGGAGUUCUCGCUGUGUUCACGUGCUGAGUGACUGAGAGGCGCACAGCCUCACAUGCAUGCACACGUGAUGUGUUCAUUCAGGGAGGGAGGGCUUUGUCCUCCUUGCCUAGGCUCAACCCAAGAGCUAGGAGAAAAAUAACAGCAGGCAUGGGAGGUGGGGCAUCCAGAGCAGUGAGGCAUAGCCUGCUACACUCUCUUUAUGCAGGUGUCACUGGGCAGGGAUCUGAGGAGGCGCUGGGCCAGGGCUUCCAGAGCAGAGGGAACUGCAGGCUCCUGAGGCUAGAGGCCAGGAGGUCAGCAGGGAGGCAGGAGGAAGGGAAGGAAGGGGAGGAGUGGGAGGAGGUGGGGCCACAGACACCCUUGGGGCCAGCAGUGUCGGCCUUCAGAGGCCCUGGAAGGACCUUGGCUUCCCCCCAGGCAGUGGAGUCCAAUGCAUUCUGCCUUCAGUCUUCCAUGACCUUUAUCUCAGCUCCUCCUCAGCACGUGACAGGAGGCUCCCUAGGGGCACACCGCGUGCCUGUGCCUCCCCGCGCCAAAGCUGGACUCCAUGAGUCCACAGCACCAUUCUGCUCAGUAGGUUGUGCAAACAGGAGAAUGACGCAAGCCGACCUCACCGGCGUCUUCUGUCCUGGGCCAAGUCCGCUUGCUGGCACCUCUGCAGCCUGCGUGCAGCAUUCCGCAGGGCUCCUUCUGACUGACUGCUCGUAUUCCACGACGUUGUGUCCAUUUCAGCCUCGUUAGUGACAUCACCUUGAACAAGACUUUCGUGACUCCGGUGAGAUAUGACUUUCUGUGGUCCAGUUCCAUCUACGUGUGGAAGCCCGGGACUUUCCCUCCAGCCCACUACACUUGGUUUCGAGAUCUCCAGCCUCUUCGGAGGGCAAAGCACACUAGUGGCAUGACAGGUAUAAAAAGAUGGAACAACCAGAUGGAACUGUGUAAAGUCAUUUUACAAUACACAAAUUGGAGG
rnacentral:lncRNA from 1 species